rnacentral:rRNA from 1 species
CGAAGAAGUGCAUUGGAAACUGGGAGACUUGAGUGCAGAAGAGGACAGUGGAACUCCAUGUGUAGCGGUGAAAUGCGUAGAUAUAUGGAAGAACACCAGUGGCGAAGGCGGCUGUCUGGUCUGCAACUGACGCUGAGGCUCGAAAGCAUGGGUAGCGAACAGGAUUAGAUACCCUGGUAGUCCAUGCCGUAAACGAUGAUUACUAAGUGUUGGAGGGUUUCCGCCCUUCAGUGCUGCAGCUAACGCAUUAAGUAAUCCGCCUGGGGAGUACGACCGCAAGGUUGAAACUCAAAAGAAUUGACGGGGGCCCGCACAAGCGGUGGAGCAUGUGGUUUAAUUCGAAGCUACGCGAAGAACCUUACCAGGUCUUGACAUCUUCUGACAGUCUAAGAGAUUAGAGGUUCCCUUCGGGGACAGAAUGACAGGUGGUGCAUGGUUGUCGUCAGCUCGUGUCGUGAGAUGUUGGGUUAAGUCCCGCAACGAGCGCAACCCUUAUUACUAGUUGCCAGCAUUAAGUUGGGCACUCUAGUGAGACUGCCGGUGACAAACCGGAGGAAGGUGGGGACGACGUCAAAUCAUCAUGCCCCUUAUGACCUGGGCUACACACGUGCUACAAUGGAUGGUACAACGAGUCGCGAGACCGCGAGGUUAAGCUAAUCUCUUAAAACCAUUCUCAGUUCGGACUGUAGGCUGCAACUCGCCUGCAAGAAGUUGGAAUCGCUAGUAAUCGCGGAUCAGCAUGCCGCGGUGAAUACGUUUCCGGGCCUUGUACCCCCCGCCCGUCACCCCCUGAGAGUUUGGAACCCCCAAAGCCGGUGGGGUUCCCUUUAGGAGCCAGCCGUCUAAGGUGGG